GGGCACGACACCGGAGAGGGAGCCUGAGAAACGGCUACCACAUCCAAGGAUGGCAGCAGGCGCGCAAAUUACCCAAUCCCGACACGGGGAGGUAGUGACAAUAAAUAACAAUACGGGGUUCUUUAGGAUCUCGUAAUUGGAAUGAGUACAAUUUAAAUCUCUUAACGAGGAACAAUUGGAGGGCAAGUCUGGUGCCAGCAGCCGCGGUAAUUCCAGCUCCAAUAGCGUAUAUUAAAGUUGUUGCAGUUAAAAAGCUCGUAGUUGAAUUUCGGGGUUAGUAGGUUGGUCAUGCCUCUGGUAUGUACUGGUCUCACUGAUUCCUCCUUCCUUAUGAACCGUAAUGCCAUUAAUUUGGUGUUGCGGGGAAUUUGGACUGUUACUUUGAAAAAAUUAGAGUGUUUAAAGCAAGCUAACGCUUGAAUACAUUAGCAUGGAAUAAUGAAAUAGGACGUUCGAUCUUAUUUUGUUGGUUUCUAGGAUUGACGUAAUGAUUAAUAGGGAUAGUUGGGGGCAUUAGUAUUCAAUUGUCAGAGGUGAAAUUCUUGGAUUUAUUGAAGACUAACUACUGCGAAAGCAUUUGCCAAGGAUGUUUUCAUUAAUCAAGAACGAAAGUUAGGGGAUCGAAGACGAUCAGAUACCGUCGUAGUCUUAACCAUAAACUAUGCCGACUAGGGAUCGGAUGAUGUUAAUUUUUUAAUGACUCAUUCGGCGCCUUACGGGAAACCAAA
rnacentral:rRNA from 1 species